GGGCGGGAGGGCGGGGUUAACCGAGGUAAUGCAGUCGAGGGGCAUCGGGAGGGAAGCUUGCUUUCCUUGCCGGCGACCGGCGCACGGGUGAGUAACACGUAUGCAACCUGCCCUCUUCAGGGGGACGACCUUCCGAAAGGGAGGCUAAUCCCGCGUAUAUCGGUUUCGGGCAUCCGUUAUCGAGGAAAGAUUCAUCGGAAGAGGAUGGGCAUGCGGCGCAUUAGCUAGACGGCGGGGUAACGGCCCACCGUGGCGACGAUGCGUAGGGGUUCUGAGAGGAAGGUCCCCCACACUGGUACUGAGACACGGACCAGACUCCUACGGGAGGCAGCAGUGAGGAAUAUUGGUCAAUGGGAGAGAUCCUGAACCAGCCAAGCCGCGUGAGGGAAGACGGCCCUAUGGGUUGUAAACCUCUUUUGUCGGAGAACAAAACCCGGGACGAGUCCCGGACUGCGUGUAUCCGAAGAAAAAGCAUCGGCUAACUCCGUGCCAGCAGCCGCGGUAAUACGGAGGAUGCGAGCGUUAUCCGGAUUUAUUGGGUUUAAAGGGUGCGUAGGCGGUCCGUUAAGUCAGCGGUAAAAUUGCGGGGCUCAACCCCGUCGAGCCGUUGAAACUGGCAGACUUGAGUUGGCGAGAAGUACGCGGAAUGCGCGGUGUAGCGGUGAAAUGCAUAGAUAUCGCGCAGAACUCCGAUUGCGAAGGCAGCGUACCGGCGCCAGACUGACGCUGACGCACGAAAGCGUGGGGAUC
rnacentral:rRNA from 1 species